GGUAUCUCAGAUUUUUCAUAAUUGAAAAUUUCAGUUUCUAAGUUUUUUCUAGGUCACCCAUUUUUUCCUGGGCCAUUAGCUCAGGUGGUUAGAGCGCACCCCUGAUAAGGGUGAGGUCCCUGGUUCAAGUCCAGGAUGGCCCAUAUCUCUAUAUUGGGGGUAUAGCUCAGUUGGUAGAGCGCCUGCUUUGCAAGCAGGAUGUCAGCGGUUCGAGUCCGCUUACCUCCACUGAAUACCACCUUUCCAAAGAGAAGGAAUAAUUGGGAACGAUCUUACUCUGAGUGAAUCUAGCUUCCUGUUAUCUAAUCCAUUAGUUAAUAAGACGCUGGACUCAAUGAAUUUAUUAUUCUUUGUGUUCAGAGAGAACCUUGACAACUGCAUAGAUUUUUUCAAGACAAUAAGCAUCUUUAAAGAUGCAGAUUUAUUGUUGGUGCUAAUGCAUUAAUAACAAUUCUAUUGAGCUGAUGCUUCAAUUUUUUGAAGUUAUU
rnacentral:tRNA from 1 species